CUGGGUGACUUUGGGCAAGUCACCUAACUUCCCUGUGCCUCAAUCCCCUCAACUGUAAAAUGGGGAAAACUGUUUUCCCUCUCACUUGAUAUGUGAGCCUCGUGGAAGGGGGACUGUGUCCGACCUGCUUCUUAUAACUGCUCCAACACUUUAGUGCACUGCUCAGCACGGCAUAGGUGCUUAACGAAUACCCUGGUUUCUAGUUUGUGGCCGGGAGAGGUGCUCGUCCUGGGUCUGGAAGGAGGUUUCACAGAAAGGAGAAAAAGAGUUGGAGUCUCUGGAUUGAUAUCUUUCUCCUCCCUAGCAAUUAAGCCAAAUGAAUGGCUCACCCUGUGAUAUUUGGAGUGCCAUGCUGGUCUCUGCUCAUCGCGGGUAGUUCAGGACAGAACAAGCCAGGGCAGGAGAGUGGAUUUUAUUGAGAAUGGAAAGAGAAGCAACAGGUGUUACAUACAUUCUGAGGCCUCAUUCUAAACCGGGUUCGUGUGGCCGAAAGGCUCUCUGUGCAAACCCUCCACCAGAACCACAACUUCUUCUCCACUCUCUGGAUCCUGUUCUCUCACCCAGGUCUGGAUGUCCCCCGGCAGGAUGGUCAGGAACUGCUCCAGCACCAGCAGCUCCAGGAUCUGCUCCUUCGUGCGCACCUCGGGCCUCAGCCAGCGACAGCAGAGUUCCCGCAGGCGGCUGAGGGCCUCUCGGGGCCCGGCCACCUCUUGGUAGCAGAACAACCGGAAGAGUUGGCGGAAGGUCUCGGGGCUGGGAUCAUCCCCUUGGGGAGAGGUCUCUUCUCCCCACGAGAAAUCCUCCUCCACCUUGACGAUCAGGAUCUCUUCCUGCUCCAGCGGACUCUGCACGGGCAGGCCCACGGCCGCUGCCAUUGUCUGGGGAUGGGCUCCCUCCGGAUACACCUCGAGCUGGACUCUUGACACCGUUUCUCCUGGGGCGGGGGCUCUGCACGCAGAAAGAGAGAAGGAUGGAAGGUUCGGAUGCAAUGAUGGAGCCCCGACAGUAAGUUCUCCGAGCCCCAGUUGGUGCAACUAAAUGACAACGACUACUGAUGAUUUUGGUGAUGCAGUGGGAGAGCCUAGGCUUCAGGGGCUGAUCGGUGGGGUCAGGGGCUAAUAUGUCUCCCUACACACAUACACACUUUGGGGCUACAGGCUGCUGGCGUUGCUGGCCAAACCUGGCACUCACUGGCCCCUCUUCUUUCCUCCCCCCUUUGCAGAGUGUUGCAAGGAGGUGCCAGGCUAAAACCACCCGUGCAAGCCUGCGGGCGUGCAGCUGACAGCUCCCGGCCACCUCGGGACGGGGAGCGCGUCAGGCUUGAAGCCCACGGGGUCCUGCCCGCCCUGACCCCCAGACUCACCGCCCUGAAGGCCCGGGACUCCGGGGCCCAACGGGCCGAGACCCGACCCUGCGAAGAAGACCGAUUAAGCGGACGCCUCCGCUAAAGCGACUCUCCCCUACCCGAGCUGCUAAUGACACCCCCCUCCAGCCACUUCCGGUUGCUCUCCGAUCCAGAGGUCCGGUGGCGUCAGGGACUAAUCAGUUCCUCCUGUGGAUUCGCUCGCGUGCUCUCGGGCCCGGCCGCCCAUCAACCGGAGGGGCUGCCCGCUCUGGACGAGGGUGGCCCGGUCGGUCUUGCCGGAAUUCCCUUUUCGGGGAGCUG